AUUGAACGCUGGCGGCAGGCCUAACACAUGCAAGUCGAACGAGUGGCGGACGGGUGCGUAAUGUCUGGGAAACUGCCUGCUGGCGGGGGAUAACUACUGGAAACGGUAGCUAAUACCGCAUACCAUCGGAUGUGCCCAGAUGGGAUUAGCUAGUAGGUGGGGUAAAGGCUACCCUAGGCGACGAUCCCUAGCGGGUCUGAGAGGAUGACCGCCCAAACUGGACCUGAGAAACGGUCAGGACUCCUACGGGAGGCAGCAGUGGGGAAUAUUGCAAAUUGGGCGCAAGCCUGAUGCAGCCAUGCGGCGUGUAUGAAGAAGGCCUUCGGGUUGUAAAGUACUUUCAGCGGGGAGGCGUUACCCGAAGAAGAAGCACCGGCUAACUCCGUGCCAGCAGCCGCGGUAAUUC
rnacentral:rRNA from 1 species